rnacentral:rRNA from 1 species
AUUGAACGCUGGCGGCAGGCCUAACACAUGCAAGUCGAACGAGUGGCGGACGGGUGAGUAAUGUCUGGGAAACUGCCUGAUGGAGGGGGAUAACUACUGGAAACGGUCGCUAAUACCGCAUACCAUCGGAUGUGCCCAGAUGGGAUUAGCUAGUAGGUGGGGUAAAGGCUCACCUAGGCGACGAUCCCUAGCUGGUCUGAGAGGAUGACCAGCCACACGGGAACUGAGACACGGCCCAGAAUCCUAGGGGAGGCAGCAGUGGGGAAUAUUGGACAAGGGGCGCAAGCCGGAGGCAGUCAUGCCGCGGGUAGGAAGAAGGCCUUCGGGUUGUAAAGUACUUUCAGCGGGGAGGCGUUACCCGCAGAAGAAGCAACGGCUAACUACGUGCCAGCAGCCGCGGUAAUUC